CAGUCGUACCUUCGGGUAAUCAGCCUUUCGGGUGCGAUUCUGUGGAGUUUGAGGAGCUUAACACCUUCAUGCUUUUGCAUAUUCGUGCUCUUGGGUGUACUUGCCCGUGUGGUUGGUUAACAUCAAUUUCGGGCACCAUAAAAUGGCUGGAGGAAUGUAGCUUUGGUCUCGUAUCGAAGUGUUAUAGACUCUA
rnacentral:rRNA from 1 species